UGUGUGUGACCCCAUAGGUUCUACUCUGACUGGUAGUGAGAUAUAUUGUGAUCUCUAUCACAAUAUCAUUGAAGACUCCUUUCAAUGGGUUAGAACGAUUCCAACUCUACUCAUUAGGGUUUAUCGUUCAUCGAGACAAUCCCUAUGAGUCCCACCAUCCACCAGUGACACCUAGCAGCAUGUAGUGGCUACCCAGCAGAAUAGAAUGGUGAACCUCUAGGUGCAGUUAAUAUGUGAUACAGUCCUACUAUCGUGGAUCCCUACAGGACGGAGGUCAUGGACAACUCGUCAAACCCCAUCGUCUGUCAUAUGUGAAGAUUCAUUCGACUUAAGUUCGAGAGUGGAAAACUCUUUCUCCACUGUGCAUACUGCCCCGGCCGAGGUCUUACGAACUCAGUCUUAUAAAUCACAUAAGAUCUCUCCUUAUCUAUCAAGGUCGAUAGAUUCCUUAUAGGUGCAUACCCCACUCCUACAGUGAAUUUACUGCAGCCAAUCUACACUGCAUGGACCCAUAUGGCUAGAGACCAUGUAUGUGUGCAGUCAAACUACAAUAACCUCACUGUGAGUAGCCGAAGCACCGCAGGUCAAAGGACCAGUCACACUACUGCAACAUCAAGCAAGUCACUGACGAGUGGAUAGACAUCCAAGUGACUUCUUGUAUUGGUCACGCUCAGUACCAUUGUUCUUAACAAGCACCUGCACUAUUACUUCAGUGUCGCCACACUGUGGACUCGAGUCUCGUCCAUCCUUAAG
rnacentral:lncRNA from 1 species